rnacentral:rRNA from 1 species
GAUGAACGCUGGCGGCGUGCCUAAUACAUGCAAGUCGAGCGAACGGACGAGAAGCUUGCUUCUCUGAUGUUAGCGGCGGACGGGUGAGUAACACGUGGAUAACCUACCUAUAAGACUGGGAUAACUUCGGGAAACCGUAGCUAAUACCGGAUAAUAUUUUGAACCGCAUUGUUCAAUAGUGAAAGACGGUCUUGCUGUCACUUAUAGAUGGAUCCGCGCUGCAUUAGCUAGUUGGUAAGGUAACGGCUUACCAAGGCAACGAUGCAUAGCCGACCUGAGAGGGUGAUCGGCCACACUGGAACUGAGACACGGUCCAGACUCCUACGGGAGGCAGCAGUAGGGAAUCUUCCGCAAUGGGCGAAAGCCUGACGGAGCAACGCCGCGUGAGUGAUGAAGGUCUUCGGAUCGUAAAACUCUGUUAUUAGGGAAGAACAUAUGUGUAAGUAACUGUGCACAUCUUGACGGUACCUAAUCAGAAAGCCACGGCUAACUACGUG